rnacentral:rRNA from 1 species
GACGAACGCUGGCGGCGUGCUUAACACAUGCAAGUCGAACGGAAAGGCCCUGCUUUUGUGGGGUGCUCGAGUGGCGAACGGGUGAGUAACACGUGAGUAACCUGCCCUUGACUUUGGGAUAACUUCAGGAAACUGGGGCUAAUACCGGAUAGGAGCUCCUGCUGCAUGGUGGGGGUUGGAAAGUUUCGGCGGUUGGGGAUGGACUCGCGGCUUAUCAGCUUGUUGGCGGGGUAGUGGCUUACCAAGGCUUUGACGGGUAGCCGGCCUGAGAGGGUGACCGGCCACAUUGGGACUGAGAUACGGCCCAGACUCCUACGGGAGGCAGCAGUGGGGAAUAUUGCACAAUGGGCGGAAGCCUGAUGCGGCAACGCCGCGUGCGGGAUGACGGCCUUCGGGUUGUAAACCGCUUUCGCCUGUGACGAAGCGUGAGUGACGGUAAUGGGUAAAGAAGCACCGGCUAACUACGUG